rnacentral:rRNA from 1 species
GACGAACGCUGGCGGCGUGCUUAACACAUGCAAGUCGAACGGAAAGGCCCUGCUUGCAGGGUGCUCGAGUGGCCAACGGGUGAGUAACACGUGGGUGAUCUGCCCCUUACUUUGGGAUAAGCCUGGGAAACUGGGUCUAAUACUGGAUAGGACCAUGCUGUAGGUGGUGUGGUGGAAAGAUUAGUUUCGGUAAGGGAUGGGCUCGCGGCCUAUCAGCUUGUUGGUGGGGUAAUGGCCUACCAAGGCGUCGACGGGUAGCCGGCCUGAGAGGGUGGACGGCCACAUUGGGACUGAGAUACGGCCCAGACUCCUGCGGGAGGCAGCAGUGGGGAAUAUUGCACAAUGGGCGCAAGCCUGAUGCAGCGACGCCGCGUGGGGGAUGACGGCCUUCGGGUUGUAAGCUCCUUUCAGCCAUGACGAAGCCCUUGUGGUGACGGUAGUGGUAGAAGAAGCGCCGGCUAACUACGUG